rnacentral:rRNA from 1 species
GACGAACGCUGGCGGCGUGCUUAACACAUGCAAGUCGAACGGAAAGGCCCCUUUUGGGGUACUCGUGUGGCGAACGGGUGUGUAACACGCCAGUAACCUGCCCUUGACUUCGGGAUUACCUUAGGAAACCGGGGCCAAUACCGGCUAGGAUUCUUUGCUGCAUGGUGGGGGAUGGUCAGCUUCCGCGGUUUUGGAUGAGCUGGCGGCUUAUCAGCUUGUUGGUGGGGUAGUGGCUUACCAAGGCGUUGACGGGUAGCUGGUCUGAGAGGGCGAGCGGCCACAUUGGGACUUAGGUACGGCCCAGGCUGCGACGGGAGGCAGCAGUGGGGAAGAUUGCACAAUGGGCGGAGGCCUGAUGCAGCAGCGCCGCGGGCGGGAUGACGGCCUUCGGGUUGUAAACCGGUUGCAGCAGGAGCGAAGCUUGUGGUGACGGUACCUGCAGAAGAAGCACCGGCUAACUACGUG